rnacentral:tRNA from 1 species
GCUGGGCUGGCUCAGUCGGUAGCGCAUGAGACUCUUAAUCUCAGGGUCCUGGGUUCGAGCCCCAUGUUGGGCA